GCAUCGGUGGUUCAGUGGUAGAAUGCUCGCCUGCCACGCGGGCGGACCGGGUAUGUUUCCCGGCCACAGCA
rnacentral:tRNA from 1 species